GAGACUGUAGGAGCGUGAAAAGGCAUGCUCUGCCUCUUGCUGCCUCAGUGGCUUAUGCAGACCCUCUUGCUGUCCAGGCACGGUUCUUAGAAUCAUAGGAGCAUUGAAUAUGCUGUGUUGUAAGAGACCCAAAAAGAUUGUAGAGUCCAACUCCUGGAACUGCCUCGAGCAGCCAGAAGUGCUAUAGCAGGACUUUUGCCCUGCCAUACAGUUGGGCAGCAGGAGCAGAUGCCAGAGUAGCUCGUUCCUUAAUUCAGCUCUUUUCUCUCUGAUGCUCGAGUCUUGUACUGUGCCUGAACAGAGAGCAAUCAGUAGCAAAGGAACAGCAGAGCUGUUGCAGUGUUGUAUUUUCCCCCUCCACUUUUUAGAUUGAAUCUGAUGAAUUGUCCAGAGAAAGCAGAAGUGGAAUAUCACAGAGAAAAUGUUUCACCAGCACAAUCAGUGGAUGUAUUACUCAUAGACAGCCUUGCAUGCAGGUAUGCCAAGAGGGAUCCCAGCUUGCAAAUCACAAAAUUGUAGAGAUUGAAAGGGACCUCUUGAGAUCUUCUUGUCCAAACUUACUUCUCAGGCAUGGGGAGGUAGACCAGGUUGCACAGGACUGUGUUCAGUGUCAGUCAGGUUUUGAAUAUUUCAAGGGUUAGAGAUUCACAACUUCACAGGUCACCCUGGUUGAGUGCAUGGUCAUCCUCACAGUGAACUGCUUCCUAAUCAGAUGGAACCUCCAGAGUUCCAGUUUGUGCACGUUGCCUCUUGUUCUGUCACUGAGCACCACUGAGGAAUGAGAACACAGAUUGGGCCUCCAUGAUUACGACCACCAGAUUCUUGAAGCUGUUUGGUCUCAGAGAAAAUCCAGUCGAUCUCCUUUUCAUGCUCUUGGAUGCUGUGCAGUCUGGACAUUUUCUCUGCCACUCUUUCACUUCGGUUCACAAAUCAGUGAAAACUUCACACCUCCUGCAGACUAGAAAACCAUAUGUCCUAGGCUCAAAAAGAGAACCCAGACAUCCUCUGCAGCUUGAGACUUGCGGUGCUGCAUCCUUCUAUGGCUUCACCUUGGUCCAAGAAUCCAAUAAUGAAUGGACAGAUUCUUUAAUGGUUCCUGGGGACGAUGCUGUGUGGCAUAUCACCACUACAGCUAAUGAGAGGACAGAAAGUUUUCAGCAUUGUUGUGCACAAUCCUGCAUCUGUUGGCUGCACAAUAGAAACUGUGCUCUGUGUCUUGCUCUUAUAUAAAUCUCUCCUAAGCAUUGGCUUGGACAAUCCUAAACAGAUCCUUGGUUCUCACUGUUUAGGAGAUAGUCACUCUGUGAAUUAGUUGUUUUUAUGUAGAAAUAUUCUAAAUAGUUCUGAGAUUUAAUUUCUGCAGAGUAGAGUAUAAUACAGUCAUUUGGUCACUAGUGCCCUGGUUGCUUUCUUUUUAUUUCUGGAUUUCUGUCUGCAGAUAUUCCCUACCAA
ensembl:lncRNA